rnacentral:lncRNA from 1 species
GGGAAACAGGAGGCACUCAACCAACACUUAUUCCAUGUUGUUCCUGGGACCUGCAGCUGCCGUCACUCCUGGUAGAAUCAUGAGUGGCUCCACCUCAGCACUGCGAACUUUUGAUUAACACAUACUUGGGUCUAUCUUUUAAACAACUCUCUUCUUGAACAGAAGGAAGAAGUGUGUUUGAUUUAUUGUUAAUUUUCUGUUACCUGACACUUGAUAAUCACUUAAUAAAUGUUUGUUGAAAGAAAAGGUAGGUGAUAAUACAGGGUUUACUAAGUGCCAGAGGAUGUUCCAAAGCCAUUACAUUUUAACUCCUUUAAUCCUUUCAACAAUUCUAUGAGGUAGGCACUAUUCCCCUCAUCAGCUAUGGUUAAGAAAACUGAGGCAAAGAAAGUUUAAGUAACACCCCCAGGGCCACUCAACAAAGUGGCUAUUGGGGGACCGACUGUAGAAUCCAGGCUCUCAAUGAAAUUGAAUAGUUUCUUAGUUAAAGCAUUUGAUUUUUAACAAAGCUGUUUAAAAAUUUAACAUAGAACUAAGGCUCUUUCUUAUAACAUUUUAAUUUCUUCAUUAAACCCUAGAAAAUGAAUUAGGCUUGAACAUCAUGCCAUAUUAUUAUAUAGGUUAGCUUCACUGCUUAAUUGAAUAAAAACAAUUCCAAUCAAAGCAUCUCACUUUCGUCUUUUCAGCUCCUGCAUGUUGGUGUGUUGGUGCAUGUCAGACUGCCAUUCAACAAAAGGCAAGACUCUGCCUCCACUCUGGGUAUUCUGGAAAAUGUAAGUAAUUGGAUCAGACUUUCAUAUCACUGCCUCCUAGAUGAUUAGAAUCUCAGUUUUCUGCAGAGUCUAUCAGACGUUAUGCUCCCCAUAUCUCCCGUCAGUACUCACUGAGUCGCGAGGGUUUGGAGAUGAUUUAUUACAUGUGACACAGGUUUCUGUUUAUGCACUCAUAAAGGCCAUGCCUGCAAGAUCUAUAGAGCCAGCUUGCACCAGUACACUGAGCUGAGAUGAAUAAAUGAAUAAUUGUUUUGAUAAUAUUAACCAAGCAUGUGUGAUGUUUCUUUGCCACAUCUGUUAUUAACAACAUAAACAAAAGGAGUCUUCAGUGGUUAUAUGUUGCUUUCAGGAACAAUGUAAUGUGCCCAGUUUGGUAAGCCUUUGUGGGUAUUGAUUAGAAUAAGUCUUUUUCUGAAUAUCUCAGGAUCAAGUGGAAUGCCAGUGCGUUUAAAAUAUGGCUGGAUAACAAUAAGUUGGUGAUUUUAUUCAAAAUGUCAACCAUGUCUCUUGCCCCUUUAGAUUUUAACUUAGUGCAUCUCAGAGCAGGGUAAGAAAAUCAGUGAAUGUUUUAACAAACACCAGAGGUUAUUAUCAUUGUCUUGGCUUAAUCCCACUUUCUACUGAGCCAGCCUCUAACAUAUUGCUUAAAAUUUUCAACAGCCUAUGAGACAAGUGACUGAUGAGCCUUUGACUGAUCAUGUCUAGUGAUGAGUGACUCACUACCUUGCAAGGCAACUUUGCAGCUCUGGCAAUAGGAUAGUCCUUCUGGAAGGAGGACAUUCUGAAAUAUUAAACAGCUUCCCUCUAUACAGAAAACUGCCCCAUUCAGAAAGCUGCUAGGGCUUGCCAGGCUUGUUCUAAAUGAAAAAGUGUGACUCAGCAGAAUUUGGGGAAGGGGGAAUAACACUCAACGUUAUCUUUCAAAAAAAUAGGGUAUGAGGUGAGAAAGAAAAAAGUGAGAGAAUGCUUGCUGAGGAGAACAUCGUUUUGUUUAUACUUCUACUCCAUUCUAAUUCCAGUCUGAGGGUGAAGGUAAAAGGAAACCAAGAUGAGCCUGAGUUUCAUAUUUUCCAGGACCGGCAAUCAGCCUGCCCUAGGCACAGAGAGCUGUCCUGGGAAGCCCUCCAUUGGAAUGAGAGUGGACACAGAGCAAGUGGUAUCCCCUGUGGACUGGUGACUAUGUAGUCAAUGGAGUUGGGAUGUUAAAACUGGUCAGUGUGGCUAGGUAACGGCACUGAAGGCCAGAUAACCCCAUCCAAACAUGCUCAGCACCUUGGAAACAGGAAAAGUCUGCACCAAAUGUGGACACACCUCCUAAAAGGUGAAGUCACUGAGUAGCCUGAGAAUGCAUUUCCAGCACUGAGGGUGGGCAGGGGAUGCUGAAAUAAAAAUUAAAUUCUGUUAUCAAAACAAAGGAAGAUGGCAUCUUUGCAUGUCUGAGAAUAUAGACUACCAUUUAUUCCAACUACUUGUCCAGAAAGCAAAAUCUAUUUAUCUAUAGUUUUUGCCUUUUUCUAUCCAUUGGGCCAAAGUAAAUUUUUAUUUUGCAUGCUUAUAUUUUUAUUUUCAAAGUAAAUUUUUCUUUUGUGUGUUUUCUCUUGGCUAACGAAAGAUAGAGAUUGCUAGGAACUGAAUGUUUACACAUUCCUCCCCGCAUUCAUGUAUUGAAAUCCUAAUCCCCAAGGUGAUGGAUUAGGGGGUGGAGCCAUUGGAAGGCGAUAAGGUCAUAAGGGUAGAAUUCCCACAAGUGGGAUCAGUGACCCCAUAAAAGGACAUAUGAGAACUUGCUUUUUCUCUCUCUGUUCUCCUCCAUGUGUGGACACAGCAAGAUGACCAUCUGCAAUUCAGAAAAGAUUUGCUGACUUCUGCCCUAGGAUACUGUCAUGGUCUGCAUGUUUGAAACUGGGUCACCACUACAUCUGGGCUCACCACUACAUCUGGAAAAAGGAACAUGGAAAAGGCACUCUCAUUGGUGCCAGACCUAGAAACAACACAUGUCACUUCUGUUCCUUUUAACCAGAAGGAAACUUUAGUCAUUGGCAAUGCAACACCAAGGGAACCUGUGAAAUACAAUUGAGUCAACAGUUCCACUCAGGCUAUAAGCCUGUAUUAUGAAAGAAGAGGAAGGUGCUUUGCUGGAUGGUCAGCAGUCUUUCCCACAUUCAAUAGAAAAGAAGCUAGUGUGUUUCUACUUUAGCGCACAAACACUGUCUUUUUGGACAGCUAAAUUAUAUCAAUCCAGUUGUCCCUUUUGA